rnacentral:lncRNA from 1 species
GUUCUACUCCGCUAGCCAGCACCUCGCCUAAACAGGUGUUCUACUCCUCUAGCCAGCACCUCUCCUAAACAGGUGUUCUACUCCGUUAGCCAGCACCUCGCCUAAACAGGUGUUCUACUCCGCUAGCCAGCACCUCGCCUAAACAGGUGUUCUACUCCUCUAGCCAGCACCUCUCCUAAACAGGUGUUCUACUCCGCUAGCCAGCACCUUGCCUAAACAGGUGUUCUACUCCUCUAGCCAGCACCUCUCCU